rnacentral:rRNA from 1 species
GUGGGGGAUAUUGCACAAUGGGGGAAACCCUGAUGCAGCGACGCCGCGUGAGGGAAGACGGUUUUCGGAUUGUAAACCUCUGUCUUUAGGGACGAAAAAAUGACGGUACCUAAGGAGGAAGCCACGGCUAACUACGUGCCAGCAGCCGCGGUAAUACGUAGGUGGCAAGCGUUGUCCGGAAUUACUGGGUGUAAAGGGAGCGUAGGCGGGGAGACAAGUUGAAUGUCUAAACUAUCGGCUUAACUGAUAGUCGCGUUCAAAACUAUCACUCUUGAGUGCAGUAGAGGUAGGCGGAAUUCCUAGUGUAGCGGUGAAAUGCGUAGAUAUUAGGAGGAACACCAGUGGCGAAGGCGGCCUACUGGGCUGUAACUGACGCUGAGGCUCGAAAGCGUGGGUAGCAAACAGGAUUAGAAACCCCAGUAGUCC